rnacentral:rRNA from 1 species
CCUACGGGUGGCAGCAGUGGGGGAUAUUGCACAAUGGGGGGAACCCUGAUGCAGCGACGCCGCGUGGGUGAAGGAGCGUUUCGGAGCGUAAAGCCCUAUCGGCAGGGAAGAAGGAGGACGGUACCUGACGAAGCAGCCCCGGCUAACUACGUGCCAGCAGCCGCGGUAAUCCGUAGGGGGCAAGCGUUACCCGGAUUUACUGGGUGUAAAGGGGGCGCAGAAGGCAGCGCAAGCCAGUAGUGAAAGCCCGGGGGCCAACCCCGGGACUGCUCUUGGAACUGCGGGGCUGGAGUGCAGGAGGGGCAGGCGGAAUUCCUGGUGUAGCGGUGAAAUGCGUAGAUAGCAGGAGGAACACCGGUGGCGAAGGCGGCCUGCUGGACUGCGACUGACGUUGAGGCCCGAAAGCGUGGGGAGCAAACAGGAUUAGAUACCCCAGUAGUC